rnacentral:ncRNA from 1 species
AUAAAGGUUAUGAUAAGGUAAAGUAAAUCUAAUACACAUACAGAGAGGGGCUUUUAUAAGCUGAGAGAAGCCUUAUGUCAAUUUUAGAUUGAAGUGCACCUUUGAACUGUUGCCUGAAAUAUUAGUAGGGUUAGCCGGGGAAGCGCCGUUAUUGCUUUUACAAGGUGGGGCAUAUAUGCUCAAUUAGAGUGGAACCGCGGGAUUAUACCGUCUCUUUA